rnacentral:rRNA from 1 species
UACGUAGGGGGCAAGCGUUGUCCGGAAUCAUUGGGCGUAAAGAGCGUGUAGGCGGCCUGGUAAGUCCGCUGUGAAAGUCCAGGGCUCAACCCUGGAAUGCCGGUGGAAACUGUCAGGCUCGAGUCCGGAAGAGGCGAGUGGAAUUCCUGGUGUAGCGGUGAAAUGCGCAGAUAUCAGGAGGAACACCAAUGGCGAAGGCAGCUCGCUGGGACGGUACUGACGCUGAGACGCGGAAGCGUGGGGAGCAAACAGG